rnacentral:tRNA from 1 species
AUAGCUCAGCUGGCUAGAGCAUCGGCUUUGCAAGCCGAGGGUCAGGGGUUCGAAUCCCCUUAUCUCCA